CCCUAGCCCCGAUUGAAGCGGCAUCCUUUUUUGCUUUUGAUGAAAUUUUCUUUUGUUGAUAAAUUUUCUGAAGCAAAAAAGAUACAGCGGAAAGCGGGAAUUAGC
rnacentral:sRNA from 1 species